rnacentral:rRNA from 1 species
UACGUAGGGUGCGAGCGUUGUUCGGAAUUACUGGGCGUAAAGGGCUCGUAGGCGGCCAACUAAGUCGGACGUGAAAUCCCCAGGCUCAACCUGGGAACUGCGUCCGAUACUGGAUGGCUUGAAUCCGGGAGAGGGAUGCAGAAUUCCAGGUGUAGCGGUGAAAUGCGUAGAUAUCUGGAGGAAUACCGGUGGCGAAGGCGGCAUCCUGGACCGGCAUUGACGCUGAGGAGCGAAAGCCAGGGGAGCAAACGGG